rnacentral:lncRNA from 1 species
UCUGCAUAAAGGUGUUUCAAAUGUCUAUAAGAUUAAGACCUGAGAUUAUAUUUUCCUUGUAAAGUAGGAGCUGUCAGUAGCAAAAAAUGCUCACCCACUAAUGUGUGCUUAUGAAUGCAGUGAUCCUUUUCAUUUACAUCAACGAUGACAUUUACAUGUACCAACUAUUCCUGCAGGUCACCUCUUGAUGUCGCCUAAUUUCAGUUUCAUCUUCAUGUUACCAGCUUGAACCAAUACUUCCUCCUUAGAGGGAUCCACUCUCAAAACUGUGGCCUUCAUACCAAGGGAAGAAACAAACACCAUAUUGCCAACCUUGGGAAGCUCAAACUUAUCUGAAACAUAAAGGGUGAGUCUAGCCUUAGAUUCUUAAUUUGGUAGAAACUCAGUCGGGUUCUCAAAGAGAUAUGACAGUCAAUCUAAUAAUCUUAAAAGUUCUCAUUAAUUAGUACAUUUACCUGAUGACGAUUUUUUUAGAUCUUCAAAAGAAGAUGCCCACCUUUUUGUGAUUGAAUUCUCACCAUUAUCGGUUGUUUUUGUAGCCAGUGCAUGCAUGCUGUCUUUUUCGCUCCAAAGUAGGCUGCAGAGAUCGAAUUGCAGAUUCACGUUGCUUUCGUGCUUUUUUGUGAAGAAUAGAUCGUGCAGUUGCAGCAGCCUCAGAUAUUUCUCGCAUUUGCCUAAAUCUUUGAUCAUUAGCAUGUUCCAUAAUCCUACAAGUACAAACGUGACAGAUAUAAACACAAUAAUUUUAUUGAAUACCUUCAGUAAGAGAGCAGAUUUAACAUUGUAAUAUUGCAUCAUUAAUUAAUUAAGCCAUAAAAUCUCUUUCCAAAAAAUAAGCACAGUUUCAUGGCACACACAUUUCGUACGAAACUUCUUCAUACUCUUUAUGCUCAUACAGUGCCAUUCUUACCUUAUAAUAAUGACGAUGAUAUCACCAAUUCAACAAAACUAACAGAGGCUGUUUCCCAUUAUGUCAUUCUUCAUGUCCAAGGUGUGCGCAGAAAGCAGAAAGUUUAUGAUCUUGCUGCAAUUUGAUUAACCAAAAGCAAGCAAUAGGGGCUGUUUGGUGAGCUCAGUGGUGGGCGUGGUUAAACUUGAUGCGUCCAAUUCCACGUUUGAAUCGCAUCUUAAGCCCCAUGAAGCAAAUUUUUGCGAAAAACUAUAACCUAUUAUAAUUUUCAUUACACAUUAGACGGUUUCAUCACACAAUUAUAGAUUUAUAUGGACACACUCAAGUAUAGACUCGAAAGUUAAAAGUAUAACAUAAGCAGUCAGAAUCAGAUGGAAAAACUUCAACCGAAUAUUGUUUCCAUCACACAAUAAUCGGUUCCAUUGCAAAAGGACACACUCAAAGUAUAGACUCGAAAGUUACAACUACUACAUAAGUGGAGCCGUUCCAAAGAGGACGUCCGCACAGCCUUUAAAGUGUGGACGUCCCUUCGUUCUCCACCGAACACGACAGCGCGCUUCCACCCGAGCGAACUCCAGCGGCAUUCUUGAUCACUUUCGAUCUCUUCCCGGCGGGAUCGAUUUGAAGGUCUGGGCAGCAACCUCCACCCAAAACUUUAGAUAAUAUCAAUCUCGCCGGAAAACUGGAAUUCGGCAGACUUGCCGGUGAGAGAAAAUGAUCGGGGAUACCUCUGAUGUCCGCUCGGGUAGAGGCGCGCCGUCGUCGGCGCCAGACGGUGCAGAACGGAGGGACGUCCGUCUCUGAUCCGGACUCACUACAUAAGUAAUCACUAAUCAGAAUCAGAUAGAUUUAGCUGAAUCUGAUUUUCUCCUUUUAUUGCUUUCGUAACACAAUAAGCUGUCACAUUACAAAUCACAUAAUUAAGCAAAUCAACCAGAAUCAGAUUUUUUUUAGUUGAAUCUGAUCUGUAGCCAGUAGCGUGUCUCCAUAUAUAGGAGCAUCUAAAAAUUUCUCGUCAAGAUAUUCCGCAUUCAGACCAAAACAAAAAAGCUCACCAAACUCCAUACGUUUCCUGUAAAUAGUCAUCACUCUAACAAACUAAACAUAAAACCCGUAUUACACUUGGACUCCCUCUUUGUCUCUCAUCUCUCGCCUCCUUCGAAGAAGAACAAGAAAUCUAAAAGGUGCAAAUCAUGGAGAAAAGAGAUAUUGAUUAUGUUUUGGUCCCAGCAGGCCUCCUAGUCAUGGUGGGAUACCAUCUCUGGCUCCUCUACCGAAUCAAAACACAACCCAACAGCACCGUCAUCGGCAUCAACUGCAUCAAUCGCCGUUUCUGGGUCGCCGCCAUGAUGGAGGUAACCCUACUCGACUGCAUCAUAUUAGCCAAUGUCUUUAUUUUCGGAAAAUGGCCUGGCCUAACCGUGUUUUGUAAUGCAGGACUCAUCCAAAAAUGGCGUUCUUGCGGUGCAGACGCUCCGAAACAACAUAAUGGCGUCUACCCUUUUAGCCUCGACGGCGAUUAUGCUCAGCUCUCUCAUUGCUGUGUUGAUGACUAGCGGAAACAAAGAUCGAACCGCGUCUGCUUUCGUUUUCGGGGACACAAGUCCGAUGGGAUACUCGAUCAAGUACUUUGCCAUUCUGGUGUGUUUCUUGGUGGCUUUCUUGUUCAAUGUGCAGUCCAUAAGAUAUUACAGUCAUACAAGCAUGCUGAUCAACGUGCCCUUCAAGAAGAUGUCACCGCAUCUGAAGCAUCACCAUUUGACAACAGAGUACGUGGCGGACACUGUGAACAGAGGCAGCUAUUUCUGGUCUUUGGGUCUCAGAGCUUUUUACUUCUCUUUCCCUCUCUUCUUGUGGAUCUUUGGUCCCAUACCGAUGUUCUUUUGUUGCUUUAUUUUGGUUACCAUGCUGUACUUCCUUGACGUCACUUGCCAGUUUGGGUGGGUUGCUGGGGUUGAUGAUGAGGAACAAAGCAUCGUCAUCGAGGUAUGAAGAACAAAGGUUGUAAAGCUCUAGCUAGCUAGCUCUUUUAUCAUUUCGAUUACAAUACAUAAUAUGUUAAUAGAAUAGUGCCAGAAAUUAGUGUUCAUAUUCAAUACGAGUUGAAUUGAAUUGCUAAGAUCUUUGAAUAAAAGGCACUUAUUCCUUAGAGUGAAGUCGUUUUGGUUUAACAAAGAAGGCAUUUUUCUCAUACAGUCUAGAGCAGCAAAGGGAGAGUUUGCAUCAUAUCAGUACCAUGCUUGACACAUCGUAGUCACCUAAGAAAGCACCAAGCACAUGAAGUUCCUCGCCAGUUCAUAAGAGCUGAGAGCAAGAGGGAUUAACCGAAAUAGGCAAAAAGAGUUGAAAGCAAGAGGGAUUCACAAGAGCUACGGUCAAUAGAGUUGGGAGAGUGAAAACUCCCGAGGGAAAUGAAUCGAGUUCCGAGAUAGAAAAAAACCCAACAGAAAUGAAUGAACAAGGUUACAGGUAAAGAGAAAGGACGAAUAAGAAGGGGUUGCAGGUAAACAGAAAUGAAUGAAUGAGAAGGGUUAACAAGCACUGAAGUCAACAAGAAGAAUAGUAACGGCAUCCGCACGAUGCAUGGAACAAGGCAAAUGCCAUUUCCCAAACUAAAAUAUCAACUGCCAGAAAUGCAGCUCUUUUGGUUUCAUGUCCUGUUCAUGAGCUGAUUUUGAUCAUGACAUUAACUUUUGCCCAUUUUCCAAAGAAAUUUAUGAGUUUCACGUGGGUUUUAACUACACUAUCUUCUUGCUGGGAUUAAAUAGAAACUAUCACAUUCACAAAAACAUUUCCUACUUUUCUGUGACUCUCUCUUUCAAUCUGUCUGCCUUGGGCCUCUAAAGUUAUGAUAAUUCUUGGAGUUAACAAGAAUCAAUGAGCUAUGUACAUAUUUUCCUGACGCCUUGAAUGUCUUAGCCUUCUGUCUGCCGCAGUUCGUAGUUAGAUUCGCUUCCCCAACUGCACCACAGAUGAUAGUGUUCAACAUAUAGAUAAACUUCACAAGAAUUCUGCAUAAAGGUGUAUAAAAUCUAUAGAACCUGAUAUAUAUUUUCCUUGUAAGGAAAGUAGGAGUUGUCAGUAGCAAAAAAUGCUCACCCACUAAUGUGUGCUUAUGAAUGCAGUGAUCCUUUUCAUUUACAUCAACGAUGACAUUUACAUGUACCAACUAUUCCCGCAGGUCACCUCUUGAUGUCGCCUAACUUCAGUUUCAUCUUCAUGUUACCAGCUUGAACCAAUAUUUCCUCCUUAGAGGGAUCCACUCUCAAAACUGUGGCCUUCAUACCAAGGGAAGAAACAAACACCAUAUUGCCUACCUUGGGAAGCUCAAACUUAUCUGAAACAUAACCGGUGAGUCUACCAUCAGAUUCUUAACUUGGUAGAAACUCAGUUGGAUUCUCAAAGAUAUGACAGUCAAUCUAAUUAAUCUUAAAAGUUCUCAUUAAUUAGUACAUUUACCUGAUGGCGACAUUUUUAAAUCUUCAGAAGAGGAUGCCCACCUUUUUGUGAUUGAAUUCUCACCAUUAUCAGUUGUUUUUGUUGCCAGUGCAUGCUGUCUUUUUCGCUCCAAAGUAGGCUGCAGAGAUCGAAUUGCAGAUUCACGUUGCUGUCGUGCUUUUUUGUGAAGAAUAGAUCGUGUCGUUGCAGCAGCCUCAGAUAUUUCUCGCAUUUGCCUAAAUCGUUGAUCAUUAGCAUGUUCCAUAAUCUUCCUUUUGGCAACCAACAUAUUUUCAUGCAACUCUCUUGAGAUCCUGUAAGUACAAAUGUGACAGAUAUAAACACAAUAAUUGUAAGCUACAGCUCAUCUUUGGAAAAUGAAUACCUUCAGUAAGAGAGCAGAUUUAACAUUGUAAUAUCGCAUCAUUAAUUAAUCCACUUGGAUGCCAUAAAAUGGAGUCUGUUUUCCCUUUUCUUCAGAAUUUUGUUCUGCUAUUAAUAGAUUUUUUUUCCCUUCCCAAAGACUAUAAGAUUGCUGUUUAUUCAAGAACUAUCACUACAGGGAAGGAGAUUCUCACAUCAGAUGAUUCUCUGCUUCAUUUAAAAGCUCUUGAUUCUCCUGCUUUAAUCGUUCCAUAUCAGCUAUAAUCUGCAUGAAAUAUGAAAACUGUUAAUAAUAUUGCAUCUGUAAAUGCAAGAAAAACUUAUUAAAGUGAGAAAAACAUCAGCACACCAUCCUCUUAGUGGACAGGAUGUGUGAACAUUAUUCUAGUUUCUUGCACUGUUAACAUACACAGGCCACUCCUUUUCAUUUAUUAUUGUUUCUUUCGUAAUUAUUCAAAACAAGAUAAAAGAGGUAAAUAUGUAUAAGUUACCUCAUCUAUCCCUGCACUAGCUGCACCGUAUAGCUCUCUAGCAUUAUCGACUACUCUACCAGGUAGCCCUAACCUUUCAGCUAUAUUGAUUGCAUUAGAACGCCCUGCAGAAUACAUUGCAUUCUUGAAUCAUUACUAAGCAACAUAAUAAUAUAUGCAAGGGUAGUAUAGGAUAAGUGACUUGAAGAGAUUUUGCCACAAGUAUUUGAAACACUUGUAGAAAAGAGAACCCAGUUUAACCUAAUGCAUAUGCAGUAUUCAGAAUAAAGACCUGGUACUCCCCAGAGAAUUCUGUAAGUUGGCUUUAAGUUCACUUCAUCAAACUCCAUACAUGCAUUUUCAAAGGCGUCAUUGCUGCCAAAGAAAAACUAUCACCGAACAAUCCCAGACUCACAGAAGGGGAAGAUAUUAUUUAGAUUUUCAGGAAAGCCUGACAACGACCAUUCUCUAACUUAACUAGACACAUUAAAAAACUGAACUAAGCUUUCAUUACUUGUUCAAUUGUUACGCCUUCAAUUUGUAUGCCAGUUACCUGUAUUUUAGGGUUUUCAGUUCUCCAUGAUGUGUUGUGGCAAUUGUCAACAAAGCACCAGUUUCAGCAAAAGAUUCCAAUAGUGACAUCCCCAGUGCUGCUCCUUCAAGGGGAUUCGUUCCUGCACCAACCUAAUAACAAAAGGAGUUGUGUAAUUGCUGCAAAUAUAAGUUCAGUUUUGUUUCUCUUUUAUCUUCCUGGUUAAAUAAUCGUAUUUCAAGAAAGUCAGUUCUAGCAGCACCUCAUCUAGUAGCACGAGUGAACAACUUGUUGACUCUGAUUGUAUGUCCUACAAGAUGUAAGAGAAGUACGCUGCUUGAAAAGUUUACAUAUCAGAUAAAUAUAUAGGUUUUCACCCAUCAGAAAAGAAAGCAUACAAAAUUUGUCUAGUCCUGAAGACUGUAAUCAUUGUUUGAUAUACUCUUCUUACGCUUAUAUGUUUUAGGUGGCCCGAGAAGGUGGACAGAGAUUGAGACAGGGAUUGUUCAUCACCAAUGUCAGCAAACACUGAAUCAAACCAAGGGAUUUGUACUGACUCAGAACAUAAAACAUGAAGACCUGCAAUAUAAAAG